rnacentral:rRNA from 1 species
UACGAAGGGGGCGAGCGUUGUUCGGAUUUACUGGGCGUAAAGGGCGCGUAGGCGGCGGGUCAAGUCGAGUGUGAAAGCCCCGGGCUCAACCUGGGAAUUGCGCUCGAGACUGGUCUGCUUGAGUUCGGGAGAGGAGAGUGGAAUUCCCAGUGUAGAGGUGAAAUUCGUAGAUAUUGGGAAGAACACCGGUGGCGAAGGCGGCUCUCUGGACCGAGACUGACGCUGAGGCGCGAAAAGCGUGGGGGAGCAAACAGG